GGUUAGGGACCAUGUGCGUGGUGAUGGACCUGAUCAGCAGCCAAGACACCUGCCGUUUCCAGUGUCAUCCCGGCUUCUUUCAAAACUGGAAAAGUCUUCAGAUAUUUCCCAAAAGCUUGUCCAUCUUUGAAAACGAUAUGCGUGUGCACAGGUGAUACCGAUGACUGAAGAUUGAAGGUUAGAGCAUUCCAGCCCCAUGCCCAUGUCCCAUCCCAUCUGCGAAAACUUGAGCACAAACAUCUCCCUCUCUGAAGCUCCCUGAACCCUGUGGCAGGCCUGAGACUCAGGUCCAGUGUCCUGUCAGUUACACUGAACAAAAUGUAAUUCAACACUGGCCAUGGGCCCUGUGCUUUAAAAACCACAUAUAAAUCUCCCAAAGAACUACAAUCUAUGAAAGCUUUCAUGGCUAGUAUUUUAGGAAGACUGAUCAGUCUUGACCUAAAUCAAAGCCGACACUGCCCAAAUUCACUCUAACCCCAGCUUCGUGCACAGGCAGCCAUCGCCUGGCCGUCAGGGUGACCAGCAGCCUGGGCACAGACAGGACCAGCGCCGGUCCCUCCCUGCACCUUAAGGGGGCUUCUGAGCUGCUGUCCAUGAUCAGUGAUGGUGACGCCCAGAGCAGCUUUCCGGGAAAGCAGUAAACCUUUCAGGUCCUCACCUCACGAGGAUGGCCAUGUAUAAAUCAACCGCCUUUGUUACUGCCCUGCCAUUCUCAAAGAGGAGAUGGGUUAAACUUCUUUAUCCACAUGCCCAACACAAGGCACACCUGCCCCAGCACGAGGCUCAUCUACUUAAUCCCGGGAAACUCACACAACCCACAAUCAGAGGCCGCGCACAAUCCGAGACUGAGCACAAUCAGAGACCACACACAAUCAGAGGCUGCACAGAGACCACACACAGAGACCCACACAAUCAGAGGCCACAAAGAGGCCAGAGGCCACAAUCAGAGACUAUACACAAUCACAGGAUGUGCACAAUCAGAGGCCAUGCACAGUCUCUGCAACCUCAUCAGAAACUGUUUCUGACCAUUCACCUGAGGCCACCAAGUUUAAAUGAGAGGCCCAGGUUUUAAAAGACAGCAGGAGUUCUCUGAAGGCAAACUCCGUGCAUUCCACCAUCAGCACCAUUUGUGCCUGUCACGGUCAGGAAGAACCACAACCACGUCUCGGUGCCCUUGCAGUGCAGGGCGCUGCGUUUCUCCCCCUUUCCAAACCCGCGGCGGCUCCUGGCGACCCAGCGCCUCUGCUCAGCCACACGCCCCCAAGGCCUUCCUCCCUCACCCCACAGGGGAGCUCCCGCAGCCGGGCUAUCUGGCUCAUCACUCCGAUUCAGUCACUUACACCCUCAUUCCAGGCUGAAAAUCUCUUCUGAAAAUAUCCAAAUCUUACCCACGUCAGGCUCCAUCUUUUCCCCAGAGCUCCUCAUCCCCUCCAGAGCAGCAGCCCUGGUGCCCGUGCAGCCGGGGCCUGUGGGCAGAUCCGUGGGCUCAGAAUGCCCAGCCCCUCAGCCCCUCUGUGUGUCCCCUUACUCCCUGCUCCCUGGCGUUAAUGCCCUCCGUCUUCGAUUUCCUGAUAGGCAAAAGGGGGUUAAUUCUAAGAGUGCUAACCGAACUGGAUCACUUAACACCAUGUCGGGCCCAGAAUACCCCUUGAUCAAUGACAGGUAUUGCUGCGCUGUUACCAUUGCGCUGGGUCCAGGUUUCCUGUGAGCCCUUUAGGCUCUUUGCCGUAAAGGCCACUCAAUGGUCCUGUCCAAGCCUGUCUGUGGCAGAUGGACAGGUGAGUGGCCGAUGCACACGUGUGAUGCUGAAUGGGAUCGUGCAAAGCUGGCCCGGCGUAUUGUGGUCAACGUAAGAAAAAAGUCGCCCAUGCUUGCUUGCUGCUGCCCUGCGGUGUCCAGAAGGAGCCGCUUAAAGGCAACUGCGCCGCACCUACCUUCUUGGAAGGAGACGGCAAGACCAGACUGGCUGGAGCUGGGAAGUUGUGCGCUACAGAUCAGGGCUGCGUAACCCAGGGAAGGCAUCACUCGAAACACGUGCUGGAGGGCAGCCAAUCCGACCCGACCGUCCACCUCCAGGGUCAGCCAUGGGGCUCCACUUGAUGUGUCAUCCUGAUCACCCCUCACAGAGCAAAUGAGCCUUUGACUUCAGCCUGUCCUAGGUACAACACUGACUCCCACCUCCCACGUCCUGAACCAGCCUGUUCCGGGGAUUGCUGUGGAGGUAGAGGAGCAGGCCCAAGACAUCUAGUGGCAUUUCCUGGCAAGGACACUCACCAUGCUCGACCAUAAAACUCGGGUCAACUGGUUUUUCGGAGGGACUGUAAUUUACUUGUGGCACGCAUGGAUACUGAUUGACCCAGGGAGGGGCACGGAGGAGGCUGAAGGAAAACCCAUGGUGACUGCGCCAGGCAUUCCCGCACACACCGACAUCUUCAGACUGGGGCGGCGUCCUAGUCUUACAAUCAAACCGAAAGCCCAGAGAAACUAGGGACCUUGUCCAAGACCAGCAACAGGUAUGUGGGCAGCUGGGAUUCAACUAAGUCCUUUCCUGGAUCCAUCCGCGCUGCUCCCUGCCCCCACUCCCACCACCCCGCCAUGGCCCCCGAUAGACACAGCAGGUCUGAACAUCAGGCACCCCGCACGCAGAGUACGGAGCAGAGCCGGCUUCCGCAGUGGGAUCUCACACACAUCCCACUCCCCUUCUUGCCGAAUGCCUCGGGACUCUGUGCGGUCAAGUCUGCAGAUGUGGCCUCACUCUGCGCUAGGAGAUCUGGGUGGCCGGCAACGUUUUGCAGAGUGCUCCUCCAGACGGGGCUCGUCGGCUGAUCCAUGAGACACAGGACACCUGAGAGAAGGGCCGACAAACCCCACAAAGUCGCUCCCAACAUGGAGAGGACAGGACCACAGCGGGGCUCUCGCAGUCCACGCUUUGGACAGGUCUUGCUGCAAACUGUGGUGCUCGUCAGGCGCGAGGAAGUUUCCCAGGGCAGGAGCUCUAAGUGACACAGCAAAAGCGACACAGGCGAUGCAGCAGGAUGUACUUCAGCUCAGGGCUCAGGAACCACGGGGUGCAGCGUGGCCUGCAGCAAACCAGACACAUCAGAAGCCAAUGUCCCACCUUUUACAUUCAGUGACAUUGAACGGAGGGAGUUAUAUGUAGCAAUCAUCUUCCUGGGGGACCCGUACAGCACGCAUGACCACCGACACUGACCACGAGUCCUUCCUAGGUCCUGGGGGCUACCCCACUUUACACGCACGGUUCCAUGCACAAAUCUACGCGUGGCAGUUGUUAGCCCCAGCUUAGAGAUGAGGAAAACGCUGCUGGAAAAGCUAAGUGAGAAAAUCAGACUUCAGCACACCUGCCAUCUCCAAGACCACUACUACUCUAUGUGCUAGGGUCUCAAGGGUUGGGUGUGUGGCAUUUUAAGUGACUAAUUGUAGGUGGUUUUCUUCUCUCCUACACCUGUUUAGCCUGAACGUGCACGUACAUGCUCUGCUGCAGGUGCACUGCCGUAUGUAGACCAGCAAUGCUCUUUCCUGCCUCGGGUUCUCGUCACUGCCUUCCGGAAAAUCUCACCUGCUUUACAGCCAAGCCAGCAGCUGCUGCCUGGCUGGCCGACUGCAGAAGAACAGCCUCUGGUACUCCCGGGAAGCCCUCGGUAAAAGCGUGAACACCACGAUCACGUCUCAGGACGCCGCACAUGUUAGGGUCGCCCACAGACCGCCAUUCCCAGUGCCUAGAAGGCACUGAACGGGCCUCCUGCUCUUUGAUGGAAAUAGCUUCACUCUCAUCCACUGUGCACACUGCAGCCCACGCCUCUCGUCCACCGCGCCACACUGCAGCCUGCAAUUCACCCUGUACCAGGCUUUCCACACCGUACCUGAAAGUCACUAAGUAUAACCAAGAAGGAAAUGAAAAGCAGAUAAAUGACCUCCACCCCUACAUCCAGCAUGCAAAUGUUAAACAUUCAUCAAAGUAAAACCAAAAUCCCAUGUUAGCUCACGAUUGUAACUGGUAGAGUUAUGUGCAUGGCAAUUUAAAAAGUCUAGUUAAGUAAAAACCUAAUUGAGACUCUCAAGAAAGACAUCUGCAAAGAUUGACAGUGAGGAGAGGACUUCACUCUGCAUCCAGCCUGUUCUGGAAGCCACGGCCAAAUCUCAGGUUGUAUAGAUCCGAAAAGCAGGAAAAAACAAGUGUUGAAAGGUGUACAGUCUCAGCAAUGUACAAAUUCGAUGUAGGAUGCUCAGAAACCUUGAAUUUCCAAUCAGGAAACAGCAACAUGAGCAAGUUUCCCAGCAGUGCCCACUUUCUACCUACGGCACGUGUAACAGUUACGCUGGCCACCUCCGGGGGGACAGAGGCUUCCUGGUCACAUUCGCUCUGGCAGCCACACAGCUGGCCCCGCCAAACACCUGUCUAAUACUGAGGAACCACUCUCUCCCUGGGCUUUGCUCACUCUAGCCAGGAGAGCAUAUUUACAGAGUACUUUACUGAGUCCUCGUUCAAUGCGUCAAGCUUGUUGAAGGCAGGGCAACCCCAUUCCUGGCCCAAUUAAGUGAACUGAGCAGAGCAAAUGCCUCCAGUUGGACGGCACUCAGUCACAACAGCAGUGGCCACUGUUCACAGGGCGCUGGCUUCGUGCCGAGAACAGUUACAAGCGUCUUCUCUCUGUCCGAGGAAUGUGCACUGCAACCCUGUGGGGCCGUUUGCAACGUCCACCAGAGUUCUGAGGCAGCCAAGUCCAGGCUGUCCGUGGGCCUUGCCACGUGGCCGUCCACGUCCCCUGCAGAUCAGACCUCACUGCAGGGACCACGGGUUCCAGGGCUGCCUUGAGGCACAUGCUCCCUUCACCACCUCCUCCUGGCCCCUGACAUCAACCCUCACCACUGCUGCCAACACUUGAUUUUCUCAUGGCUCCUGAGGGGCCUGUUCUGCCCUUCCCUGCUCCCUGCGUCCGGCUUGGAGGGUACCCACAUCAACGCCAACGCUCACGUAAUCACCAACCUUUCCACGGGGCUUGAUGCCUAGGAGUCUCAAUAUCAGAAAGUCAGAUUCCUGUGCUUGUUGGAGAAUUUCUUCCCAUUGUACAAGUGAAGGAGAUAAAAUUCUAGGUGCCUGCAAUAACCUCAUUUCCACAACGAAGCAACUUCAGUAGUAGCACAAAACAAACAAACAAAAAAAGCUUUUUUUUUUUAAACUUCUUUUAUACAAGCUAAAUACAAUUUAAUUUUUACAUCCACGUUCUCAUCAGCUCCCACCUGGUGAGCAGGCAAAUAGUAAUUUUCAAAGAAACAAAUUGUUGCAUAAUUUUAACACUUAGCAUUAUCACUAUUAAGCAAGAAGUAUCCCAAAAAUACAUGAUGAUCUUGUUCUCACGUUCAAAAAUUGAUUGUCACACAGUGAAAUAACACUUAAUGCAAAGGAAAGUUUCUUUUCAGGUAUCUGUUCUGGAAAAGAAAAAAAAAAAGAUUUCUGGCAAAGAGAUAAACAUUAAUUAUGUAACAAUCCAAAAUGCCUCUGGGAAAAAUGAUGUCAUCCAAUUAGUUCUUUGAAGUGUUACAAAUGCAGCUGAGUUUUAAUAGUAAUUUCUCCAUAAUUAUCAAAAGAGUCUUUAAAAAUCUUAGUGCUGAAAUAACUAUAAAUGGAUAUAAUACGCAAAGCAGAAGAGUUAACAUUUGGGGUAGAUUUUGGCCCAUAUUUUUAACAUAUGCAUAGUUAUUCACCUAGUUGAAGCUUAUCCCUCUCCUCCUAGGCUCUUCAAGACUGAUUUUCAAACAUAGACUGGCUUUUGGUACAUGAAGGCAGCUUUAAAAGAUGUCAGGAUCAGGCCGGGCACAGUGGCUCAAGCCUGUAAUCCCAGUAUUUUAGGAGGGCAAGGUGGGCCGAUCAUUUGAGGCAAGGAGUUCGAGACCAGCCUGACCAAUAUGGCAAAACCCAGCCUAUAUUAAAUAUUUUUGUAAUUAGCCAAGCGUGGUGGCACACACCUAUAAUCCCAGCUACUUGGGAGGCUGAGGCAGGGAGAACUGCUUGAACCAGGAGGCGGAGGUUGCAGUGAGCCAAGAUCGCACCACUGCACUCCAGCUUGGGCGACAAAGAGAGACGGUCUCAAACUAGAACUUAGCCCUCAGGAAAAGCAUUGAGCACCCCCCACCCAAACCAACCCAAGGAAUCACAUGGCAAUGGUUAUCAUCUGAUUUCGACAAAUAAAGUUCUGUUCUCCCCUCUGAACACAAUGGUAAACACCUGCCAUCAGCCCACAGAAACUCCCAGGACCCAGUAACACUGGACUAGCAAGAUCAAUGGGCCACGUAUGCAGGGUUCAGCAGCAGAAAGUCAUGGCACCGAGAAUGGUGUGUGCUCAAACCAGAUUCCUUGCUUUCGGGGUGAAGGGGCUUCCCGGGAAAAUCUAGUCCAGUGGGAUGGUUUCCACUUCCACCAUGAGGAGGAAAUGGGGGGUUUCCUGAGGGCACUGACAGGACCUGGGUCUCUGCCCCUUUGUCCUCUGUCCUGUUAUGGGAUGAGGGUGGGCUGAAGGCAGGUUUCCCCUACAUCUUCCGGGCAGGAGAGAUGGAGCUGACAAGUGGACGACGCUUUUUCCAAAACAUUCCCAUGUUUAUAACCUGUUAUCAACCUGUUUUCCCUGGAGAUCAGUGAAGCAGCAUCAUUGAUUCUCUUCCAUUAGGGACAACCCGGUGUUACGGGAGGCAGGAGACGACAUGCGAGCUGGUCUGAGUCAGUCACUUGUGUCUGGUCCCCAGCGUGCUCGUCUAUCAAAUGGGCGGCCCCACAGACCAGUGACUUUGAACCAGAGUUCCAUGGAGGUUGCCCAAGGACAGGGAGGGGGAAGAGGGGGAAGAGGGGGAAGAGGGGGAAGAGGAGGAAGAGGAGGGAGGAGGAAAGGGAGGAAGGAAGGAAGAAGGGGAGGAAGGAAGGAAGAAGGGGAGAGGAAGGAAGGAAGAAGGGGAGAGGAAGGAAGAAGGGAAGGGGAAGGAAGAAGGGGAGGGGGCGGAAGAGGAGUGUGGAGGGAGGAGUGUGGAGGGAGGAGUGUGGAGGGAGCACUGUGGAGGGAGCAGUGUGGAAGGAGGAGCAGAAGGGGGGUUCUCUGAGGAGGAGGGCCAAGUUUUUGAGGUGUCUUGGAGUCAGAGGUGGCAGUGGCUUGGGCUCUAGGCCCUCUGUUGCAUAGUUUUAGGCUUUAACUAUUUAUAUUUGUGGACUCUUUAAAAGAUUUAAUUUGAAGGAAACCGGAGUUGGGGAUACCUUGCUUCUAAAACACAAUUUCUCAAGCCUGAGACUAAGUGCUAGGCAUUGCUCAUUCUGUUACAAUCAUUUCCUCCUAUUUAAAAUCAGCCACACACCCCCAAUCUCUCUUCAGGGCAAACAUCUUUUCCGAGGAUCUCAAACAGCAGAGCGAGCGGCCCGUGACCCCAGCCGUGGGCACGAGGAGCGAAGAGGAGACGUGUGGAGAGGGCUGCUGAUGACAUGAGAGGUAGAGGCCCGGCACCUCCCUCCAGGGGCUGUGCUCCUCCAGGCCUAAAGGACAUCCUCGCCUCUGGGGUGAACAAGCAGCACAAACUAUCAACACUUAUUCCAAAAGAACAGGAAGAAAAUUCAAACGAAGUUAAUACAGUUACCCCAACACAACACUGCAGCAGCCCAGAAACAGGAGGGCCACUGAGCCUGAGGUGGGCGGUUCCAAUAGCAGGACAGCGACGUUGGCAUUAGGGCUUUUCGGCAAAGAAAAAAAAAAAAAAAAGACACAAAAGG